UACAGAGGGGCAAGCGUUAUUCGGAAUUAUUGGGCGUAAAGGGCGCGUAGGCGGCUUGGCAAGUGGAUGGUGAAAUCCCUCGGCUUAACCGAGGAACUGCCGUCCAAACUGCUUCGCUUGAGACCGGAGAGAGGUAGUGUGAAUUCCCAGUGUAGCGGUGAAAUGCGUAGAUAUUGGGAGGAACACCAGUGGCGAAGGCGGCUCACUGGACCGGUACUGACGCUGAUGCGCGAAAGCGUGGGGAGCAAACGGGG
rnacentral:rRNA from 1 species